rnacentral:rRNA from 1 species
UACGUAGGGUGCAAGCGUUGUCCGGAAUUAUUGGGCGUAAAGGGCUCGUAGGCGGUCCAUCACGUCGGGAGUGAAAAGCUGGGGCUUAACCCCAGUCCUGCUUCCGAUACGGGUGGACUAGAGGUAGGUAGGGAGAAGUGGAAUUCCCGGUGUAGCGGUGAAAUGCGCAGAUAUCGGGAGGAACACCGGUGGCGAAGGCGGUUCUCUGGGCCUUACCUGACGCUGAGGAGCGAAAGCGUGGGGAGCGAACAGG